GAUGAACGCUGGCGGCGUGCCUAAUACAUGCAAGUCGAGCGAACGGACGAGAAGUUUGCUUCUCAGGUGAUAGCGGCGGAGGGGAGUAAAACGCGUGGAUACCCCCCCUAUAAGAGUGGGAACUCCUGGAAAACGCGGCGCUAACAGCGGAAGAUAUUAUACAACGCAUGGUUCAAUUAUAAAAGACGGUCUAGCUACCACUUAUAGAUGGACCCGCGCGGCAUUAGCUAGUUGGUAAGGUAACGGCUUACCAAGGCAACGAUGCAUAGCCGACCUGAGAGGGGGAUCGGCCACACUGGAACUGAGCCACGGUCCAGACUCCUACGGGAGGCAGCAGUAGGGAAUCUUCCGCAAUGGGCGAAAGCCUGACGGAGCAACGCCGCGUGAGUGAUGAAGGUCUUAGGAGCGUAAAACUCUGUUAUUAGGGAAGAACAUAUGUGUAAGUAACUGUGCACAUCUUGACGGUACCUAAUCAGAAAGCCACGGCUAACUACGUG
rnacentral:rRNA from 1 species